rnacentral:lncRNA from 1 species
GAUGGCUGGUAUCAUCUUCUGGAGUAAUAUGUGGGCCACGGGGGCCAGCCCAGGAGGACUGUAAGCUCCUUGUAGUUUGUCCUCUUCUCUAGACUUUGGGAAGCAUGCUAGGUAUCGAGAGUCCGAGUAUGUGUGCUAGCUAGGGCCUCAGAGGAAGCGCUGGCUGCUGGGAAAGAGAGGUGUCAGGACUCCUCACACUGGGCCACAAUGGUUCCAGACCGCGAGGGCUUCAUCCGUGAAGUGGAAUUACAACGCAGCCUCUGUUGAAACGGGCUGUGAUGGCUGUGGGCAGUUGAGUAGGAAAGCACCAAGAGCCAGGGGCUUAGCUUGGGUCAAUAAACGACAGCCGACUGGCUAGGAGAAAGCCAGCAUUGUGAGGGUCCAACGGCAGUCGGCCGCGGGAGAGCCACAACUGGAACGGGAUCCUGUCAGAGCAGUGUGUCAUAUUUGUUCUGGCAGCUUCUUUGGUAAAGCCACGCUAAGCUCCAUCUGGGAUACUGUCAGGCCCGACUCAAACAAUUGUUUAUAAAGUGGGCAAAAUCGGGCUUUAGCAGUCGGCCCUCCAGCCACCACAGCUCUCCUUUUCUCCUGGAGGUAAAGCUGCCAGACUUCUCCUGGAGCAGCACAGACAGCAGUUACGGUGAAGGUUCCAGAAUUCAAGGGCCUUCGUUUGAAAUGGAGCUUCGCCGCCAUUGAGUUCAUUUCCUGGGAACCUUACUGUGUCCCAUGACAGAAGCCCACAUGGUGAUGCCUUACAAAUUAAGAACUCACCUUUCUUCAGUUCUGCAUGAAGAGGAGAUGGUCCAGAGGAUGUGGCAAUGAUACAGAUACAACCAGAGAAGAAGUUGGUGUUCUUUUCUAAACCAUGGUAAAAAUAACAGGACAUCAUGUAGGAUGUGAUAGCGCCCUAGAAAUGGAGACCUGAGAAAGUUAAGCACGCAAGAUUCUCCAGCAAGUUUCCACACUUCAGAGUGAAAGCUGGAUCUUUAGACUCUCAGACCAGUGUCUAUGUGACAAACCUGCUGUCCCCCAAAAUUGAUGAAUGCCAUAAGAAUGAUCAGGAGGCAAUGAUGGAAACCACUCUGUCUCUGAUAUUUUCCCUGCAAAGAGAAGAGAAGAGCGAGUACCAGAAGUUUAGAGGGUGAUGUCCAAGAAAUAAAAGAAUGCUCCAGGAGUCUGAGAUGAAUUCUCCACAGAUCCUUACCCGUCUGGAAGAUUAUGUAUGCCUGGGGGAGUCUCAAAAGAACCGAGGAAACGUAAACAUGAAGGAGGAUUGAGAAAAGGCUGCAAUGUUCUCUGUCCCUCAUACAGACCUAGAGGAAAAUUAUGGCAACCUGGCUGGUCCUGGGCCAGUGCUGUUCCCUUGGCUCUAUACAUCUAAGGCAUCGAAGACUCCCAAGGAUACGGAGUGACUCUGGGUAUCAGCUUAGCACAUGUUAUUUUAGGUGUUUCAACAGUGACACCAUUGAGGUAGUGUGGCUUAGUGAAGGAAUGUGGGCUUGGACGGGAUAGAAUGGGGUUGUCAUUCCACAGUUAUAAGUUAAUAUUCUUAUUAACUUGGGCAAUCAUGUGACUACUCAGUAUCCUAUUUAAAUCUUAUAAAUGCCCACUGAAGUAGGCAUGGACUACUUCUGUGUUGUGGAUACUUUUUAAGUCUGCGGAAUAGUUAUUUUGGGUGAUGAUUAAAAAGUCAUAAUGGCUAUAAAGUAUGUGUCACAUGAUAGGUGACCUAUAAAUAGCUGUAUUGUUGCUGUUAGUCCUGGUGUAGAAAAGAACUGUCAGACCGAUAAGCCCAGAGAAUUUAACCUCUCAGAGAGUCACACGGAAAAACACUGGAUAUUAAUAGUAUAGGUGAAGCAACUACACUGUCUGUAAGUGUCCAACCUUGGCUUUAACAAAUGACUAUAAAGUUUAUGGCUUAAGACAAUGUAACUCAUUUCUUCAUAGUGCUCCAGGUAUAGUAUAGUCCAUCAGGGCUUUCUGCCUCUAGUCU